GACGAACGCUGGCGGCGCGCUUAACACAUGCAAGUCGAACGGAAAGGCCUGCUUUCCCUUGUGGAUUGCGGGUACUCGAGUGGCGAACGGGUGAGUAACACGUGAGUGAUCUGCCCCCAACUUGGGUAUAAGCCUGGGAAACUGGGUCUAAUUCCCGAUAGGACUGCAGGGUGGUGCCUGUGGUGGAAAACGAUUUUCUAGUGGUUGGGGAUGAGCUCGCGGCCUAUCAGCUUGUUGGUGGGGUAAUGGCCUACCAAGGCGGCGACGGGUAGCCGGCCUGAGAGGGUGGACGGGCACAUGGGGACUGAGAUACGGCCCAGACUCCUACGGGAGGCAGCAGUGGGGAAUAUUGCACAAUGGGCGGAAGCCUGAUGCAGCGACGCCGCGUGGGGGAUGACGGCCUUCGGGUGGUAAACUCCUUGCGACCGCGAGGAAGCCACCUGGUUGGAAGGGUGGUGACGGUAGUGGUAGAAGAAGCACCGGCUAACUACGUG
rnacentral:rRNA from 1 species